AUGGCAGGAGGAUCGGGGAGCCAGCCGUUCCCUGUGACCCGAAAUCGGCUACACGCGGGGACCCGUUAACCCGAGGGAGAGGUAGCUCCGGACCACGGUAGGCCUUCAGGGUCAACGAUGAGACUCUGCCCUAUCGGGCCAGCGUAAGAGAGGGCCCUUCUGAAGGGAAGGAUUCAUCUCUUCAUCGUCGAAACCGAUGAGGCUCGGAAGAGAGCAAUCGUAAGGCGAGCGCCAAGGCGCUGAUGGGAUAACAGGGUUUAGAAGAUUCUGGAGAAACCGCUAUGGCGAGGAAUGCCAAUUCAACGGGGAUGCUGCCAU
rnacentral:SRP_RNA from 1 species